rnacentral:rRNA from 1 species
UUCUUUUGGAGAGUUUGAUCCUGGCUCAGGACGAACGCUGGCGGCGUGCCUAAUACAUGCAAGUCGAGCGGACCGAACGGGAGCUUGCUCUCGUUUGGUCAGCGGCG